UAAACUGAAAACUGGUUCUAUAUUACUUAGUGUUAUGGCUUGAUGAAACCCCAUCAGUAAUUUCCUGAUAUGUAUUUCUAAACAAUAUAGUUUACCAAGUGAUCUGAAUUAAAAAUACUGUCUAUGAACAAAAUGAAGGUUUUUAGGACAAUUUUGCUGGGGCUCCGCCACACUUGUACGGAGGCAGGUAGCGGGUCAUGAUGUGGCCCGGCCAAAUAUCUUUUCCGGGAUCUGCCAAAGCUGCGAAUGGAUUCAGGGCAUCAGGAUCAAGAGAAGAGAUAUCAUAGAGAGUGUUCUCAUAGAUUCCAACCUAAUGUGUGACAUGUAUGCAGUUUUUUCUCAGUCUUGUAUUUUAGUUAAGGACAUUGCCUUUUAUAUUUCAUAUUGACAAUAAUAAUUACUUAUCUUUGUGUUUACUUUUAUGAUGAGCCUACAAUUUGAAAUUAUGUUUGUAACAAUUUUACACAUGAUUGAAACAUUGAGCAAGUGCUAUCGCUGGGCUUGAACAUGUAAAAUUUGAUUUAAUUGACCUAAGAGAAUGUUAUUAGUUUAUAAUCAAAACAAAAGGAAAUAGUGAGUUAGGAUUUAAAUUUAUACUGCUAAGAAUUGGAAAAUCGUAUCAUCUAUACCAUUGUUUUUAAAUCACUGAUCAAAUGCAGAUUAUUUAAAUAACAAAAUGACUGUAAUAUUUACCCAUCCAAUACUUUGUCAGUUAUGAAUGUUUACCAGUACAUAGACAUCUUGAGAGUAUAUUGACGUAUCCUCUGGCCAUUUGAAAAAUACCAAACCUUCUCAGGAAUCUUUCAGUUAAAAAACAAUAUCAUAACUAACUCCAGGUCACACAAAAAUGUCUUAGGUUCUUCCCACCCUUUCUCCUUAAUAUGAAAUGAACAUUCAGGGUUGACAUGCAACAUGCAAUCCAGCUAAUGUCACUCAAACACUGAUUUUUGCAUGCUUAACAACCUACCUCCAUUUUUUCUCAUAUCGCUGUCUGUAUUAUGGACAAAUAAAAAGUUACUGAUGUUUACAAUUAUUAUUGAAAACUUUAACAUUUUAACUACAAGAUAACAAGAAUAUUAAGUUAUCUUUUGUAACUAAAUCAUUAGUGGGGCCGAUCAAGAAAUAUGAAAACAAUGAUUAUAAAACAAUUUUUAAUUUAUAGUGUUAUAUACUAUUUUAAUAUAAACACUGUUCUGUAUUUGUAUCAUAUGCACAUAUUAUGAAUAGAUAUGCAUUGAAUUGAAUUAAAACUUUAAAUUAUGGUGGUGAUGAAAAGCAGGGAAAUCAUUUAUCCUAUUAGGUAUGUUUAGCUCCAUUGACAGAGUGUUCAAAUUACAUAUCACUCUAUAGAAGUAUUUUUCUAUUCAUUUUAUUUUUUUAAUGUACUUCAUGAAAUAGUUUUAAUAAAAAAUUAAUGCUUUUCAUACGUUAUCUCUCAGCCAACAUAAAGUGAACUUUUUUAGCGUUUUAAUAUCCUACCUGAUAAGUCAACAGGACAUUAAAUACAAAGUACACUAUUUAAAAUGUGUGAAUACGGAUAUCACACAUAAGAUAAGUUGUGUAGGUCAUGUUGAAGGCCACACUGACCGUUUCCUUAAAGAUGAUAAUUUGAGAGUUUCCAUAGUUUAAUCUUUCAUUUACCUUUCUAAAUAUCAAAUAUGUACUGUA